AUUGAACACUGGCGGCAUGCCUUACACAUGCAAGUCGAACGGCAGCACGGGUGCUUGCACCUGGUGGCGAGUGGCGAACGGGUGAGUAAUACAUCGGAACGUACCUUAUCGUGGGGGAUAACGCAGCGAAAGUUGCGCUAAUACCGCAUACGCCCUGAGGGGAAGAGCGGGGGACCGUAAGGCCUCGCGCGAUUAGAGCGGCCGAUGUCUGAUUAGCUUGUUGGUGAGGUAAAAGCUCACCAAGGCGAUGAUCAGUAGCUGGUCUGAGAGGACGAUCAGCCACACUGGGACUGAGGCACGGCCCAGACUCCGACGGGAGGCAGCAGUGGGGAAUUUUGGACAAUGGGGGCAACCCUGAUCCAGCAAUGCCGCGUGAGUGAAGAAGGCCUUCGGGUUGUAAAGCUCUUUUGUCAGGGAAGAAACAGCAGCUCUAACACAGUCUGCGAAUGACGGUACCUGAAGAAUAAGCACCGGCUAACUACGUGCCAGCAGCCGCCGCAG
rnacentral:rRNA from 1 species